CUAGGCUUAAGUAGAGAUAUUUGUUGAUUUCUAUUCCCUUCCCUCUUCACCGUUUACCCAUUCGUUGCCAUAUGAAUCCUAUUUUACCCUCACCAAAUUCUCACCUCAAAAACACUCAAACGAAAGCCAUUUCUUGCUUCCUUUAACUCCGGCAUUCCUCCCCUUCAUCCAAGGUCAGGUGGCUUGAGACGAGAGAGAAUCGAACAACCAGUUGGCUUGGGAAGGGGUUGAGUGGGCCCUUGCUAGCUCAGCGUGUGAGAGGGAGGUGAAAUUUCAGACCUGGUUUGAAAUUGAAACACUCUGUAAGGAGGUUGAACCGUACGACGUUACGGUAGUACGCUAAUCCUUUGCUUAAGAAGCUUGAAAGGAAAAAGCGGUGUUGGCUUGUCAGAGCAGCAAACGACCUCUGGCGGAUUAAACUGAGCCAGAAAGAUACCAUCAAUGGAAUCUGUUGAUUCUUCUGGUGAAGAAGAGUUUCAUAUAUUUAAUUUCUUCAGAAGCUGAUAGUGUUCAUGUUUCUCUUCUGACAACUUUUUUUUUCACUGUUUCUCGAUGCCAUGUUCAGUUCUAAAUGAGUGAUUGAAGGUAGCAACAAGAAGGGGAAAAAUAUCACUCAAGGGUGUGCUAAGUGUGUUAUUGCUUCCUCUUCUUCUUUGGCUUGUCUGAUUGCUUCCUCCACCCACAAUUGAGCGUCUUGUAUUCACUGAAUCACUGUAAGUUCUUUGGCAAUUAAAUUCUUUGAUUUUAUUUUACUGUUAUUGAAAUUAGUAUUGGAGAAAUAUGACCCUUUUACUACGAUUUAAAGAUAUGUAACACUUUAAUAUCUUACGGUAAUGGCUCGUCUGCCUUUAAUAGUACAAAGUGUGAGGCAUAAAAGAAUUGGUAUUGUAUUGACAA